UACGAAGGGGGCUAGCGUUGCUCGGAAUCACUGGGCGUAAAGGGUGCGUAGGCGGGUCUUUAAGUCCGGGGUGAAAUCCUGGAGCUCAACUCCAGAACUGCCUUUGAUACUGAGGAUCUUGAGUUCGGGAGAGGUGAGUGGAACUGCGAGUGUAGAGGUGAAAUUCGUAGAUAUUCGGAAGAACACCAGUGGCGAAGGCGACUCACUGGCCCGUUACUGACGCUGAGGCGCGAAAGCGUGGGGAGCAAACAGG
rnacentral:rRNA from 1 species